GCACCUGCGGUAAUUCCAGCUCCAAUAGCGUAUAUUAAAGUUGUUGCAGUUAAAAAGCUCGUAGUUGGAUUUCUGGGAGAGUGGCGAUGUCCGCUUAACGUGUGUGCAGCGGCGCUCUUCCAUCCUUCUGUUAGCAUCUCUUGGCAUUCAUUUGCUGGUGGCGGGCUCAGAUAUUUUACCUUGAGAAAAUUAGAGUGUUUCAGGCAGGCUAGGCCGGAAUACAUUAGCAUGGAAUAAUGGAAUAGGACUACGGUCUCUUUGUUGGUUUGAGGGACUGCAGUAAUGAUUAAUAGGGAUAGUUGGGGGCAUUAGUAUUUAAUUGUCAGAGGUGGAAUUCUCAGAUUUGUUAAAGACUAACCUAUGCGAAAGCAUUUGCCAAGGAUGUUUUCAUUGAUCAAGAACGAAAGU
rnacentral:rRNA from 1 species